GGAGAGGUGUCAGAGUGGUCUAUUGUGCUACCUUGGAAAGGUAGUGUUGAGUAAAAUCAACCGUGGGUUCGAAUCCCUCCCUCUCCG
rnacentral:tRNA from 1 species